GGGGCAGCAUCAUCAAAGCUUGCUUUGAUGGAUGGCGACCGGCGCACGGGUGAGUAACACGUAUCCAACCUGCCGACAACACUGGGAUAGCCUUUCGAAAGAAAGAUUAAUACCGGAUGGCAUAAUUAUUCCGCAUGGGAUAAUUAUUAAAGAAUUUCGGUUGUCGAUGGGGAUGCGUUCCAUUAGGCAGUUGGCGGGGUAACGGCCCACCAAACCUACGAUGGAUAGGGGUUCUGAGAGGAAGGUCCCCCACAUUGGAACUGAGACACGGUCCAAACUCCUACGGGAGGCAGCAGUGAGGAAUAUUGGUCAAUGGACGAGAGUCUGAACCAGCCAAGUAGCGUGAAGGAUGACUGCCCUAUGGGUUGUAAACUUCUUUUAUACGGGAAUAAAGUGAGCCACGUGUGGCUUUUUGUAUGUACCGUAUGAAUAAGGAUCGGCUAACUCCGUGCCAGCAGCCGCGGUAAUACGGAGGAUCCGAGCGUUAUCCGGAUUUAUUGGGUUUAAAGGGAGCGUAGGCGGGUUGUUAAGUCAGUUGUGAAAGUUUGCGGCUCAACCGUAAAAUUGCAGUUGAUACUGGCGACCUUGAGUGCAACAGAGGUAGGCGGAAUUCGUGGUGUAGCGGUGAAAUGCUUAGAUAUCACGAAGAACUCCGAUUGCGAAGGCAGCUUACUGGAUGGUAACUGACGCUGAU
rnacentral:rRNA from 1 species